UCUAUUUGUCAGAAGUCUAUUUCAAACCUUCCAAAGCCUAUUCUAAUUUCUUGCAAGAUCCCACCUUUGCCUUUUCAUACCACCUUGUUUGUAUUCCUUUUAUGGCAAAUAUUAGAAUUAUUAUUUACAAACAUGUCUUAUCUUCAAAAUAUAUCCAGAAUCCAACUGCUUCUAACUAAUCAUUUUCACCGCUACCGCUUUGGUCCAAACCACUGUCAUCUUUUCCUUGCAU
rnacentral:lncRNA from 1 species